rnacentral:misc_RNA from 1 species
AACUGAUACUACCUGCGGGAACCUGCGGAAGGAUCAUUACCGAGUUUUCAACUCCCUAACCCUUCUGUGAACCUACCUAUCGUUGCUUCGGCGGACUCGCCCCAGCCCGGACGCGGACUGGACCAGCGGCCCGCCGGGGACCUCAAACUCUUGUAUUCCAGCAUCUUCUGAAUACGCCGCAAGGCAAAACAAAUGAAUCAAAACUUUUAACAACGGAUCUCUAGAUCGGAAGAGCACACG